UACGUAUGGUGCAAGCGUUAUCCGGAUUUACUGGGUGUAAAGGGAGCGCAGGCGGCACGGCAAGCCUGAUGUGAAAGCCCGCGGCCCAACCGCGGGACUGCAUUGGGAACUACCGGGCUGGAGUGCCGGAGAGGUAGGCGGAAUUCCUAGUGUAGCGGUGAAAUGCGUAGAUAUUAGGAGGGACACCAGUGGCGAAGGCGGCCUACUGGACGGUGACUGACGCUGAGGCUCGAAAGCGUGGGGAGCAAACAGG
rnacentral:rRNA from 1 species